GUAGGUGAACCUGCGGAGGGAUCAUUAACACGUUUUAAAACACGUUUUAACCCACUAACCAACCACGUGAACUAUUUAACCCCCUUGAAAGUCUAAGAAAUUCCGUAAGGAAACCUUCUUCUUCUUUCGAAACACCCCUUUCACCUUUCUAUAACUAUUGACUGAUCUUUUUUGUUUGUUACUCAGCAAUGAGUAUAAUAAUAAAAAACCUAAUCAAAUAUCUAAGCACAACUCUUAGCAACGGAUAUCU
rnacentral:misc_RNA from 1 species